GAGGAAGAAUAGAAUGAUUUGGAGGAAGAGAAGGAGAAAGUAGAGGAGUUGAAAAAAAGGAAGAAAAACAAAAAUGCAGAAUCCUCUGUCAAUCCAAUAGAACACAGCAAAAAAGCAAAGAAAGUGAAAGCAUAGAUUUGCUUGUAAGUAGAUAAUGCAUCAUGAGCAUCUUCUCUAUUGAUGAAAAUCUUUCGGUGUUGGGAUCUGUUUAUAACUGCAUCAUCACAAACAUGUGAGUAAUGCGUCGCACCACAUUAUGAUGGCCAUGAACUCACUAGGCCAUAGGAAUUUUCAGCUUCAUUAUAAUCUUAAAGCACCACUGUCAUAUAUGCAGUCCACUGUUGACUGAUUGUUACGUGGCACAUGGCUGUGCAAAGAUGAUAGCACACAUUAGCUUUCUUGAGGCUCCAGGAACUGUCCAG
rnacentral:lncRNA from 1 species